GCACCCUGAUCAGCCAUGCCGCGUGAGUGAAGAAGGCCUUCGGGUUGUAAAGCUCUUUCAGAUGCGAAGAUGAUGACGGUAACAUCAGAAGAAGCCCCGGCUAAUUUCGUGCCAGCAGCCGCGGUAAUACGAAAGGGGCUAGCGUUGUUCGGAUUUACUGGGCGUAAAGGGCACGCAGGCGGUCUUGCCAGUCAGGGGUGAAAGCCCGAGGCUCAACCUCGGAACUGCCUCUGAUACUGUAAGACUUGAGACUAGGAGAGGGUGGUGGAAUUCCCAGUGUAGAGGUGAAAUUCGUAGAUAUUGGGAGGAACACCAGAGGCGAAGGCGGCCACCUGGACUAGAUCUGACGCUCAGGUGCGAAAGCGUGGGGAGCAAACAGGAUUAGAUACCCUGGUAGUCCACGCCGUAAACGAUGAGUGCUAGUUGUCGGGACUUCGGUUUCGGUGACGCAGCUAACGCAUUAAGCACUCCGCCUGGGGAGUACGGUCGCAAGAUUAAAACUCA
rnacentral:rRNA from 1 species